CCUACGGGAGGCAGCAGUAGGGAAUCUUUCACAAUGGGCGAAAGCCUGAUGGAGCAACGCAGCGUGCAGGAUGAAGGCCUUCGGGUUGUAAACUGCUUUUAUAAGCGAGAAAUAUGAUGGUAACUUAUGAAUAAGGCUCGGCUAACUACGUGCCAGCAGCCGCGGUCAUACGUAGGAUCCGAGCAUUAUCCGGAGUGACUGGGUGUAAAGAGUUGCGUAGGUGGCAUAAUAAGUAGCUAGUGAAAUCUGGUGGCUCAACCAUUCAGACUAUUAGCUAAACUGUUAAGCUCGAGACCGUUAGGGGUAACUGGAAUUUCUAGUGUAGGAGUGAAAUCCGUAGAUAUUAGAAGGAACACCAAUAGCGUAGGCAGGUUGCUGGGACGGUUCUGACACUAAGGCACGAAAGCGUAGGGAGCAAACGGGAUUAGAUACCCCUGUAGUC
rnacentral:rRNA from 1 species